UACGAAGGGGGCUAGCGUUGCUCGGAAUCACUGGGCGUAAAGCGCACGUAGGCGGCUUCUUAAGUCAGGGGUGAAAUCCUGGAGCUCAACUCCAGAACUGCCUUUGAUACUGAGGAGCUUGAGUCCGGGAGAGGUGAGUGGAACUGCGAGUGUAGAGGUGAAAUUCGUAGAUAUCGAGAGGAACACCGGUGGCGAAGGCGGCCAACUGGACAGAUACUGACGCUGAGACUCGAAAGCGUGGGGAGCAAACAGG
rnacentral:rRNA from 1 species